rnacentral:sRNA from 1 species
CUGGCCCGAGAUUGGGUAGAGUUAGCUCCCUGAAGUUUAUUUGACGUGGGAAAACCAAAUUGUAUCCGGGCAAGCUUCGCAGAUUAUUGUUUCCCUCCAUUUGCUGGGGCGCAUUGUGAUCUGACUUUCUGCUGGCUUCCCUGGACCAAGGAAACAAUGUCCGCCCCAACUCUGUUUUCCAGUCACGUCAUCUUCCCUGUUUUCGGCAAAACCUGGUUCGAUCAAUUGCGCCAUUCAAAACACACUUCAAAGUUCGUGGGAACAUGGAAACGGAUGAUAGAUCUGAAAUCUCGUUGUCAAAGAUUGGUUGCGAAGGGAGGGCGAUGAAGAUACCCGCUCUACAUGUGCUUUGCUGCGGACUCGAGAUCCGGUCCAAUCUCUGAUCCGAAACUUAGAUGAGCUUCGCUUAUUGUUUCCAAUCACCAAAUGAAGGCAAAGUGCAUACGAAUUACCGAAUGCUCAAACAUUGCAUCCAUGCCCAUGUACGGAAUGGAAUGCUGUGCGUA